UGUCUGCUAGCAAGGAUGAGAUUCGGGAUUGAGAAUACAAAGACAACAAAGAGCCCAUAUUCACGUUGUAGCACAAAACUUGUACAACCGUGAUUCUUCACGAACAUUAGCAAUUUGGAAUGCUUAACAGGGAAUGAGUGUAAAAAGUGCCAAAUGUGAGCCACAUAAGACGUGUAGAAGGCAUGACUGAAUGGCUUGGCCAUUUUGGGUGAUGAUUUGGACCCAGUGGAUUUUGAAAGAGCUUAUGAUCACAUCAAAGCAGCCUCCACUUUUGCUGAUGAUCUAUUAAAUCAUACUUGAAUUACAACAAUGUACCUGAUCAUUUGAUGUUUGUAUCAUACCGAUUAAAUUGGAUAUGAACCAUAUCUGCUUUCUGAAACUACAGGUGGAUGC